rnacentral:rRNA from 1 species
CCUACGGGAGGCAGCAGUGGGGAAUCUUGCGCAAUGCACGAAAGUGUGACGCAGCAACGCCGCGUGGAGGAAGAAGGCUCUCGGGUCGUAAACUCCUUUCAGUUGGGACGAAGCUUCGUCGGUUAAUAGCCGGCUGGAGUGACGGUACCUUCACAAGAAGCACCGGCUAACUACGUGCCAGCAGCCGCGGUAAUACGUAGGGUGCAAGCGUUGUCCGGAAUCAUUGGGCGUAAAGAGCGUGUAGGCGGCCCGAUUAGUCCGCUGUGAAAGUCCAGGGCUCAACCCUGGAAUGCCGGUGGAUACUGUCGGGCUCGAGUCCGGAAGAGGCGAGUGGAAUUCCUGGUGUAGCGGUGAAAUGCGCAGAUAUCAGGAAGAACACCAACGGCGAAGGCAGCUCGCUGGGACGGUACUGACGCUGAGACGCGAAAGCGUGGGGAGCAAACAGGAUUAGAUACCCUGGUAGUCCACGCCGUAAACGAUGGGUACUAGGUGUGGGGGUGUCGAUCCCCCGUGCCGAAGCUAACGCAUAGUACCGCCGNGGGNGGUACGGCCGGCGAGGAACGUAAACGUACAAGUUAGUAAGUUAGUUACGGCGUUGAGACGNGCCGACGGACGACGACGAGGGAGGAGG